AUAGCUCAGCAGUUAUUUCUUUUAAAAGAAUUAAAAGAAGUGGCAAAAGACUAAAAUAUGAGGACAGAUAAGGACACUACAGUUAUAUGAACUGUUGACAGACACUGUGGGGGGGUCGGGGACUGAAAGCAUGCCAUAUUUCCAGUGCUGUUAUAGUUAGUAUAUAGUAUUCACAAGCAAGGCCUGAUCAUCAACCAGUCUCUGGUUUAGUGCACUGUCUUUUCACUUGUCAAUACUCACUUUGAAAGGACACCAAUAAGAACUACUGGGGUUUGCAAGGUGGCCCGGAGGUGAAGAUUCUGUUGUUGUAGAGGACCCCAGUUCUGUUACCAAGCCCCACUGAUGACUCACAAUCACCUACCCCUCCAGCUUCAGGGAGCCUGGUGUCCUCUUCUGACCUCUGAGGGCACCUUGUACAGUGUGGGGAUUGGGGUUUCCUGGGCUGUCUAUGCUAAUCUGUGGUCAUUAUUAGAGUUUAGAACAUGCACAGACAUGGAUACUGGAUUACGCUCUGCCUAUGACUUCUGAAGCCACCCCCUGGCGAAAGCCACUGGCUCUCACCCUGUCCUGGACGUCAGUGAUUAAUAAUGUCUGUGCAGUGGACAGCGUCACUCUUCUGGGGUCUGACCGUGUGUGUCCUCCACACACAUCCCGAAUUCUCCUCCAUACACAUCCUUCUGAAACCUGCAGUCCACUGAGGUGCCUUUCAGAACUCCCUGUUUCUUCCUCAUCAACAAGCUUGAUUGUUUCAGGCAAGGUGGGAGUCUCAGACAAAGACACAGAGAGAAGCCUGAGUCUACAGAGCAGCCCUAAAAAAUGAAGUCUUUCGCUCAGCUCGCCUCUUUUAGGAGGUCUCAACAUGACCUUAAGAUGUUGUGUGAUGGAACAGAGCUUCUAAGGGUUAAAAGCUUGCUUACAAAUGAAGACAGUAAAAUACCAAAGCCAAAGUUGA